rnacentral:rRNA from 1 species
AUUGAACGCUGGCGGCAGGCCUAACACAUGCAAGUCGAGCGGAUGAAGGGAGCUUGCUCCUGGAUUCAGCGGCGGACGGGUGAGUAAUGCCUAGGAAUCUGCCUGCUAGUGGGGUAUAACGUCCUGAAACGGGCGCUACUACCGCAUACGUCCUGCGGGUGCAAGUGGGGGAUCUUCGGACCUCACGCUCUCAGAUGAGCCUAGGUCGGAUUAGCUAGUUGGUGGGGUAAAGGCCUACCAAGGCGACGAUCCGUAACUGGUCUGAGAGGAUGAUCAGUCACACGGGAACUGAGACACGGACAAGACGCCUAAGAGAGGCAGCAGUGGGGAAUAGGAGACAAUGGGCGAAAGCCUGAGCCAGCCAGGGCGCGUGUGUGAAGAAGGUCUUCGGAGUGUAAAGAACGUUAAGGGGGGAGGAAGGGCAGUAAGUUAAGACCUUGCUGGUGUGACGGUAACAACAGAAGAAGCACCGGCUAACUACGUG